rnacentral:rRNA from 1 species
CACGUAGGGGGCGAGCGUUGUCCGGAUUUAUUGGGCGUAAAGAGCUCGUAGGCGGCUUGUCGCGUCGACCGUGAAACCUCACAGCUCAACUGUGAGCCUGCGGUCGAUACGGGCAGGCUAGAGUUCGGUAGGGGAGACUGGAAUUCCUGGUGUAGCGGUGAAAUGCGCAGAUAUCAGGAGGAACACCGGUGGCGAAGGCGGGUCUCUGGGCCGAUACUGACGCUGAGGAGCGAAAGCGUGGGGAGCGAACAGG